rnacentral:rRNA from 1 species
GGAUGAACGCUAGCGGCAGGCUUAACACAUGCAAGUCGAGGGGCAACACGGGUAGCAAUACCUGGUGGCGACCGGCGCAAGGGUGCGUAACGCGUGAGCAACAUGCCCUAUACAGGGGGAUAAUCCAGGGAAACUUGGUCUAAUAUCCCAUAGUAUUUAGAGGUGGCAUCACCACUAAAUUAAAGCUUCGGUGGUAUAGGAUUGGCUCGCGUGACAUUAGCUGGAUGGUGGGGUAACGGCUCACCAUGGCGAUGAUGUCUAGGGGUUCUGAGAGGAAGACCCCCCACACUGGGACUGAGACACGGCCCAGACUCCUACGGGAGGCAGCAGUGAGGAAUAUUGGACAAUGGAUGGAAAUCUGAUCCAGCCAUGCCGCGUGCAGGAAGACGGCCCUAUGAGUUGUAAACUGCUUUUAUAUGGGAGCAAUAAGGUUUACGCGUAGACCGAUGAGAGUACCAUAUGAAUAAGCAUCGGCUAACUCCGUGCCAGCAGCCGCGGUAAUACGGAGGAUGCGAGCGUUAUCCGGAUUUAUUGGGUUUAAAGGGUGCGUAGGCGGNNUUGUAAGUCAGCGGUGAAAUUUUGCAGCUUAACUGUAACAGUGCCGUUUGAUACUGCGGGGCUAGGAUUUUGGUUGCUGUGGGUGGAAUGUGUGGUGUAGCGGUGAAAUGCUUAGAUAUCACACAGAAUAUCGAUUGCGAAGGCAGCUCACAAAGCCAAGAUUGACGCUGAGGCACGAAAGUGUGGGGAUCAAACAGGAUUAGAUACCCUGGUAGUCCACACUGUAAACGAUGAUAACUCGCUGCCGGCGAUACACAGUCGGUAGCCAAGCGAAAGCGAUAAGUUAUCCACCUGGGGAGUACGACCGCAAGGUUGAAACUCAAAGGAAUUGACGGGGGCCCGCACAAGCGGAGGAACAUGUGGUUUAAUUCGAUGAUACGCGAGGAACCUUACCCGGGCUCGAACGGUGCAUGAAUAUAAAAGAGAUUUUAUAGUCCUUCGGGACAUGUAUCGAGGUGCUGCAUGGUUGUCGUCAGCUCGUGCCGUGAGGUGUAGGCUUAAGUGCCAUAACGAGCGCAACCCUUGUCGUUAGUUGCCAUCAGGUAAUGCUGGGAACUCUAGCGAGACUGCCACCGUAAGGUGUGAGGAGGGGGGGAUGACGUCAAAUCAGCACGGCCCUUAUGUCCGGGGCGACACACGUGUUACAAUGGGGGGUACAGAGGGCAGCCAUCCGGUGACGGAGCGCUAAUCUCCAAAACCCUUCUCAGUUCGGAUUGGAGUCUGCAACCCGACUCCAUGAAGUUGGAUUCGCUAGUAAUCGCGCAUCAGCCAUGGCGCGGUGAAUACGUUCCCGGGCCU